rnacentral:misc_RNA from 1 species
CUCUUGUCAACUUGGGUGCUCUGCUUGAGCAGAUUUCUAAGUUAGGUUCAUUGAGUAGGGGUUCCUCCAAGGCAUGGCAUGAAUAGCAUCGUCAUGAAAUCAACCUAAAGCGUUUUGCAGAACGACUAAGAUCAUCCGUAUCCUAGUGUCUAAAACCUCUCGUGUGAGUAUACAUAAAUUUAUUUCUUCUUUCUACCUACCAAACAAUAAUUUGGCACUGCAGAUAUCUAUUUUGCGAUCAUCAUAUUGAAGGAGAAUCUGAUCUGGAGCACAAUGCAUCUAAACAGAUUCAACAAAUAAAUGCUUGUACUAAUCUAACUCUAGCCUUUGGUGGCAGCAACUCUCUUUCUCUCUUCCACACACAUAAAUGAAAAAUUGUAUGCUGGAAUAGAUUGACAGUUUUUAUGCAAGUACUACUACUCAGUGUAUACAAUAUAGGGAAAUGCUAUGAUAAUGAAAACAGUAAUUUGAUUGGAACAUCAUUCAUUUUGCUAGUUGUUAAUACAGGAUUUAGGAAGUCACUUUAACUAACAGGAAAUAAGAAUUGGGAUUAGGAAUUAUUGGGAAUAAAGCUACACUGAGUUAUAAAUACACAAGGGCUGAGAGAGAUUGCCCACCUCUGUCGCGAAGCGUGGUAGGCCUGCGCCGGGGGAGCAUACCAUAGGGAGGAAAGGGAGCUCGGACGGUGGAAGAGCCAGGGGAG